UAGACGUACAGGGGGCCAAGCCCAGGACUGGGUCCAUACACUGGGUAGUGUACAGGUGGUGGGAUGAAGACAGCAGGCCUUCCCAGUCCUGUACAUUCACAAUUGAAACUGGACAGAAGUUUUGCUACAUACAUCUUCGGACCCCUGGUCAGACUGUUUUGGCCUCUUGACUGCCACAACGGGAGACAUUGAUGUGUCCAUCUCAUGCUGAAACAGACAGUGGAGCAUCAGCAUUACCUGGUUAGUGAGGGCUAGUCGGGUGGUGUCAUAUCCCAUCAUGCUCAGUAAACACUUUGAAAAUAAACUCCAUUCUGAUUGGUUGCCAAGUCCCCCA